rnacentral:rRNA from 1 species
UUUCCUGAGGAAAAAUUCUCAGGUAAGACCUGCCCGAUGUAUUAUCAAAUGGCCGCGGUAUUUUGACCGUGCGAGGUAGCAUAAUCAUUAGUCUCCUAAUUAGAGGCUGGAAUGAACGGUUAAACGAGAAAGAUUCUGUCUCUUGUUAAAAUAUAGAAUUUCAUUUUUAAGUGAAAAAGCUUAAAUAAAUCUGAAGGACGAUAAGACCCUAUAGAGCUUUAUUCAAAAAAGAUAAAAUUUACACUAGAUAAAAAGUUUCAUAUCUCAAAUGAAUUUUGUUGGGGCGACAGCAAGACAUAUAAGUAACUCUUGUUUUUUUAAACAUAAAAUAAUGAACAUCUGAUCCUUAAAGAAAGAUCAUAUGAACAAGUUACCUUAGGGAUAACAGCGUAAUCUUUUCUAAGAGUUCCUAUCGACGAAAAAGGUUUGCGACCUCGAUGUUGGAUUAAAGAAAUUCGCUAAGGUGCAACAGCUUUUAGUGGAAGGUCUGUUCGACCUUUAAUAUCUUACA